rnacentral:rRNA from 1 species
GAAAAGAAACCAACAGGGAUUGCCUCAGUAACGGCGAGUGAAGCGGCAACAGCUCAAAUUUGAAAUCUGGCUCACGCCCGAGUUGUAAUUUGUAGAGGAUGCUUCGGGUGAAGCCGCGGUCCAAGUCCCUUGGAACAGGACGUCAUAGAGGGUGAGAACCCCGUACCUGGCCGCCGGUGCCCCCCGCUGUGAAGCUCCUUCGACGAGUCGAGUUGUUUGGGAAUGCAGCUCUAAAUUGGUGGUAAAUUCCAUCUAAAGCUAAAUACCGGCCAGAGACCGAUAGCGCACAAGUAGAGUGAUCGAAAGAUGAAAAGCACUUUGAAAAGAGAGUUAAAAAGUACGUGAAAUUGUUGAAAGGGAAGCGCUUGCGGCCAGACUUGCCCGCGGUUGCUCAGCCCGCCCUCUGGCGGGUGCACUCUUCCGCGGUCAGGCCAGCAUCGGUUUGGGCGGUCGGACAAAGGCGUUGGGAACGUGACCUCCCCUCGGGGAGGUGUUAUAGCCCGGCGCGCAAUGCGACCAGCCUGGACCGAGGUUCGCGCUCUGCUAGGAUGCUGGCGUAAUGGCCGUAAGCGGCCCGUCUUGAAACACGGACCACUGCAUAU